CUAUUCAUUGCAACCCUUCACUAGGCUAACAAAAUUUGCUAGUGCUAGAAAAGUCACCAAUAACUCUUCCACUACCUUCAAAGUUCCCUUGUUGCUUAUAUUCUAGGAUGGUAGAAGAUCAUAGGAGACAACUUCCAGUGCCCUCAUAUCUCAACAUUAGAUAUCAUCAUACUCCAUGAAAAUGAUAUACAAAAUGAUGAACCCCAUAUUCUAAAAUCUUACC
rnacentral:lncRNA from 1 species